GAUCAUGGCUCAGGACGAACGCUGGCGGCGUGCUUAACACAUGCAAGUCGAGCGGAAAGGCCCUUCGGGGUACUCGAGCGGCGAACGGGUGAGUAACACGUGAGCAACCUGCCCCAGGCUUUGGGAUAACCCCGGGAAACCGGGGCUAAUACCGAAUAUGACCUGGCCUCGCAUGAGGCUGGGUGGAAAGUUUUUCGGCUUGGGAUGGGCUCGCGGCCUAUCAGCUUGUUGGUGGGGUGAUGGCCUACCAAGGCGACGACGGGUAGCCGGCCUGAGAGGGCGACCGGCCACACUGGGACUGAGACACGGCCCAGACUCCUACGGGAGGCAGCAGUGGGGAAUAUUGCACAAUGGGCGGAAGCCUGAUGCAGCGACGCCGCGUGAGGGAUGACGGCCUUCGGGUUGUAAACCUCUUUCAGCAGGGACGAAGCGUAA
rnacentral:rRNA from 1 species